GUCAAGUCAUCAUGCCCCUUAUGUCUUGGGCUGCACACGUGCUACAAUGGCCGGUACAAUGAGCUGCGAUACCGCGAGGUGGAGCGAAUCUCAAAAAGCCGGUCUCAGUUCGGAUUGCAGGCUGCAACUCGCCUGCAUGAAGCCGGAGUUGCUAGUAACCGCGCGUCAGCCAUAGUGCGGUGAAUACGUUCCCGGGCCUU
rnacentral:rRNA from 1 species